GGGAAGGUGGCUCAAUGGUAAGAGUGCUUGCCUUGCAUGCAUGGGGCCCUGUGUUCGAUUCCUCAGCACUCACA
rfam:Dipodomys ordii contig_32912, whole genome shotgun sequence.